AUGACAUUGUUUUUGACAGAAGGCAAAAUGCAGCGGAACAGAAACAGCUCUGCCUGUAAUGAACAGAGGGUGGAACAAAAACGAUGCCUUCUUACAGAGACAGGGAAGGCAUUGUAUGUGAGGGGGAAAAAACCUGUGAAUUUUUGCAAGCCCCCAACCAUUCCACUUCAUUUCCACCCUCAAGAAGCAUUCACCUCCAAAUGGCUCUGUGGGUCACAGAAGGAUGGAGGCUUCAUUCACGCAAGGAACACAUGAUUCCCCCAGAAGGACAGCUGCAUCUGGACAAUUUGGGAACCUCCCAAGUGCUGUCUUUAAUAUAUGCUUUUUAAAAUAUUAAUAAAAAAGCAAUGAAUGCUGGAGACUGUAUUUCUCUCCAGAUCACUUUGAAAGCAAGUUGGCAGGCCCAGGCUGCAGAUGGCUGCUCUUGACCACUGCAAUGUCACAUUCGGGAUGUUCCCUGG
rnacentral:lncRNA from 1 species